GACGAACGCUGGCGGCGUGCUUAACACAUGCAAGUCGAGCGGAGCGGCGAACGGGUGAGUAACGCGUGAGUAACUGCCCCCCUCUCUGGGAUAACAGUUGGAAACGGCUGCUAAUACCGGAUAGUGGGGGAUGACUCGCGUUCUACCAGCUUGUUGGUGGGGUAGUGGCCUACCAAGGCGACGACGGGUGGCCGGCCGGAGCGGGCGACCGGCCACAUUGAACAGAGGUGCAGCCCAAACUCCUGCGGGAGGCAGCAGUGGAGAAUAUUGAACAAUGGGGGAAACCCUGAUGCAGCAACGCCGCGUGCGGGAUGUCGGCCUUCGGGUUGUAAACCGCAUUCAGCCAUGACGCGGUAGUGGCAGAAGAAGCACCGGCUAACUACGUGCCAGCCGCCGCGGUAAUAC
rnacentral:rRNA from 1 species